UUAAGCGACUAAGCGUACACGGUGGAUGCCCUGGCAGUCAGAGGCGAUGAAGGACGUGCUAAUCUGCGAUAAGCGUCGGUGAGGUGAUAUGAACCGUUAUAACCGGCGAUUUCCGAAUGGGGAAACCCAGUGUGUUUCGACACACUAUCAUUAACUGAAUCCAUAGGUUAAUGAGGCGAACCGGGGGAACUGAAACAUCUAAGUACCCCGAGGAAAAGAAAUCAACCGAGAUUCCCCCAGUAGCGGCGAGCGAACGGGGAGGAGCCCAGAGCCUGAAUCAGUGUGUGUGUUAGUGGAAGCGUCUGGAAAGGCGUGCGAUACAGGGUGACAGCCCCGUACACAAAAAUGCACAUAUUGUGAGCUCGAUGAGUAGGGCGGGACACGUGGUAUCCUGUCUGAAUAUGGGGGGACCAUCCUCCAAGGCUAAAUACUCCUGACUGACCGAUAGUGAACCAGUACCGUGAGGGAAAGGCGAAAAGAACCCCGGCGAGGGGAGUGAAAAAGAACCUGAAACCGUGUACGUACAAGCAGUGGGAGCCUCUUAAUGGGGUGACUGCGUACCUUUUGUAUAAUGGGUCAGCGACUUAUAUUCUGUAGCAAGGUUAACCGAAUAGGGGAGCCGAAGGGAAACCGAGUCUUAACUGGGCGUUAAGUUGCAGGGUAUAGACCCGAAACCCGGUGAUCUAGCCAUGGGCAGGUUGAAGGUUGGGUAACACUAACUGGAGGACCGAACCGACUAAUGUUGAAAAAUUAGCGGAUGACUUGUGGCUGGGGGUGAAAGGCCAAUCAAACCGGGAGAUAGCUGGUUCUCCCCGAAAGCUAUUUAGGUAGCGCCUCGUGAAUUCAUCUCCGGGGGUAGAGCACUGUUUCGGCAAGGGGGUCAUCCCGACUUACCAACCCGAUGCAAACUGCGAAUACCGGAGAAUGUUAUCACGGGAGACACACGGCGGGUGCUAACGUCCGUCGUGAAGAGGGAAACAACCCAGACCGCCAGCUAAGGUCCCAAAGUCAUGGUUAAGUGGGAAACGAUGUGGGAAGGCCCAGACAGCCAGGAUGUUGGCUUAGAAGCAGCCAUCAUUUAAAGAAAGCGUAAUAGCUCACUGGUCGAGUCGGCCUGCGCGGAAGAUGUAACGGGGCUAAACCAUGCACCGAAGCUGCGGCAGCGACACUAUGUGUUGUUGGGUAGGGGAGCGUUCUGUAAGCCUGUGAAGGUGGCCUGUGAGGGUUGCUGGAGGUAUCAGAAGUGCGAAUGCUGACAUAAGUAACGAUAAAGCGGGUGAAAAGCCCGCUCGCCGGAAGACCAAGGGUUCCUGUCCAACGUUAAUCGGGGCAGGGUGAGUCGACCCCUAAGGCGAGGCCGAAAGGCGUAGUCGAUGGGAAACAGGUUAAUAUUCCUGUACUUGGUGUUACUGCGAAGGGGGGACGGAGAAGGCUAUGUUGGCCGGGCGACGGUUGUCCCGGUUUAAGCGUGUAGGCUGGUUUUCCAGGCAAAUCCGGAAAACCAAGGCUGAGGCGUGAUGACGAGGCACUACGGUGCUGAAGCGACAAAUGCCCUGCUUCCAGGAAAAGCCUCUAAGCAUCAGGUAACAUCAAAUCGUACCCCAAACCGACACAGGUGGUCAGGUAGAGAAUACCAAGGCGCUUGAGAGAACUCGGGUGAAGGAACUAGGCAAAAUGGUGCCGUAACUUCGGGAGAAGGCACGCUGAUAUGUAGGUGAAGCGACUUGCUCGUGGAGCUGAAAUCAGUCGAAGAUACCAGCUGGAUGCAACUGUUUAUUAAAAACACAGCACUGUGCAAACACGAAAGUGGACGUAUACGGUGUGACGCCUGCCCGGUGCCGGAAGGUUAAUUGAUGGGGUUAGCGGUAACGCGAAGCUCUUGAUCGAAGCCCCGGUAAACGGCGGCCGUAACUAUAACGGUCCUAAGGUAGCGAAAUUCCUUGUCGGGUAAGUUCCGACCUGCACGAAUGGCGUAAUGAUGGCCAGGCUGUCUCCACCCGAGACUCAGUGAAAUUGAACUCGCUGUGAAGAUGCAGUGUACCCGCGGCAAGACGGAAAGACCCCGUGAACCUUUACUAUAGCUUGACACUGAACAUUGAGCCUUGAUGUGUAGGAUAGGUGGGAGGCUUUGAAGUGUGGACGCCAGUCUGCAUGGAGCCGACCUUGAAAUACCACCCUUUAAUGUUUGAUGUUCUAACGUUGGCCCGUAAUCCGGGUUGCGGACAGUGUCUGGUGGGUAGUUUGACUGGGGCGGUCUCCUCCUAAAGAGUAACGGAGGAGCACGAAGGUUGGCUAAUCCUGGUCGGACAUCAGGAGGUUAGUGCAAUGGCAUAAGCCAGCUUGACUGCGAGCGUGACGGCGCGAGCAGGUGCGAAAGCAGGUCAUAGUGAUCCGGUGGUUCUGAAUGGAAGGGCCAUCGCUCAACGGAUAAAAGGUACUCCGGGGAUAACAGGCUGAUACCGCCCAAGAGUUCAUAUCGACGGCGGUGUUUGGCACCUCGAUGUCGGCUCAUCACAUCCUGGGGCUGAAGUAGGUCCCAAGGGUAUGGCUGUUCGCCAUUUAAAGUGGUACGCGAGCUGGGUUUAGAACGUCGUGAGACAGUUCGGUCCCUAUCUGCCGUGGGCGCUGGAGAACUGAGGGGGGCUGCUCCUAGUACGAGAGGACCGGAGUGGACGCAUCACUGGUGUUCGGGUUGUCAUGCCAAUGGCACUGCCCGGUAGCUAAAUGCGGAAGAGAUAAGUGCUGAAAGCAUCUAAGCACGAAACUUGCCCCGAGAUGAGUUCUCCCUGACUCCUUGAGGGUCCUGAAGGAACGUUGAAGACGACGACGUUGAUAGGCCGGGUGUGUAAGCGCAGCGAUGCGUUGAGCUAACCGGUACUAAUGAACCGUGAGGCUUAACCUU
rnacentral:rRNA from 2 species